GCCCAUAGCUCAGUUGGAUAGAGCGACGGACUUCGAAUCCGUAGGCCGAAGGUUCGAGACCUUCUGGGCGUA
rnacentral:tRNA from 1 species